rnacentral:rRNA from 1 species
GACGAACGCUGGCGGCGUGCUUAACACAUGCAAGUCGAACGGUAAGGCCCUUCGGGGUACACGAGUGGCGAACGGGUGAGUAACACGUGAGCAAUCUGCCCUUGACUCUGGGAUAACUGCGGGAAACUGUAGCUAAUACCGGAUACGACGCCUUGGGGCAUCCCAGGGCGUGGAAAGAAUUUCGGUCAAGGAUGAGCUCGCGGCCUAUCAGCUAGUUGGUGAGGUAACGGCUCACCAAGGCGACGACGGGUAGCCGGCCUGAGAGGGUGACCGGCCACACUGGAACUGAGACACAGUCCAGACUCCUACGGGAGGCAGCAGUGGGGAAUAUUGCACAAUGGGCGCAAGCCUGAUGCAGCAACGCCGCGUGAGGGAUGAAGGCCUUCGGGUUGUAAACCUCUUUUAGCAGGGAAGAAGCGAAAGUGACGGUACCUGCAGAAAAAGCACCGGCUAACUACGUGCCAGCAGCCGCGGUAA